AAGGCGGCAUCCGUCAGGUGUUAGAAUGCCGGAGGGGACAGGAGCCUGUUCCAAGGAUGCUUUCCCAGCCCUCUUGCUGAUGGGUGGGUCAUCCUUCCUGGUCCCAGCAGAGUGGAGGCACAAGGAGCUGCAGGCUUCUCUUCAGGAAAGUCAAGGCACAGUUCACUAGGCAAGAGAGGACUGUGACACAGAGGGCUGCAAAGAGAAAAGUGCUGCUGUUUCAGCCACUCACUCCACAGCAAAAGAACAUUAUCGUGUCCACUAAAUAAAUAAAAGCAUCUUCAAUAAUA